CCUACGGGUGGCUGCAGUCGAGAAUCAUUCACAAUGGGGGAAACCCUGAUGGUGCGACGCCGCGUGGGGGAAUGAAGGUCUUCGGAUUGUAAACCCCUGUCAUGUGGGAGCAAAUUAAAAAGAUAGUACCACAAGAGGAAGAGACGGCUAACUCUGUGCCAGCAGCCGCGGUAAUACAGAGGUCUCAAGCGUUGUUCGGAAUCACUGGGCGUAAAGCGUGCGUAGGCUGUUUCGUAAGUCGUGUGUGAAAGGCGCGGGCUCAACCCGCGGACGGCACAUGAUACUGCGAGACUAGAGUAAGGGAGGGGGAACCGGAAUUCUCGGUGUAGCAGUGAAAUGCGUAGAUAUCGAGAGGAACACUCGUGGCGAAGGCGGGUGCCUGGACAUUAACUGACGCUGAGGCACGAAGGCCAGGGGAGCGAAAGGGAUUAGAUACCCCUGUAGUC
rnacentral:rRNA from 1 species